AUGGAAAGCUCUCGAAGCUCAUCUUCUCUGAUACUUCUUCAAGCUAGGAGUGUAUUUGUAUUUGAAAAAGAAGGGUCUUUGGAAGAAUUACCAACAAUCCUCUGCGCUUCUCAUUUCUGGAAUAUUCAACUGUGCGAACUUCAUUCAGUCACCGAUUAUGCUUUAUUGAAAAGGUCAUGCUUCUGGAAGACUGCAGCCUUUAUUGACCGACCCCUUCAUGUCACCUCCGGAAUCGUGUUGCUGCUCUUUGCAAAUUAUCUUCCAUUCGUCAUUGCUCCCAGGGAGGUCUCAUCUCAGCUCAGCAUGGAGGUUCUGAUUUCAGCAGUUGCGGGCGAUCUUGUCGGCAGGUUCAUCUCUUUCCUGGCUCAAAAUUAUGGCACCCACACAUGUGAGGAGGAGGAUCGUAGAAGGUUGGAACGCAUCUUGCUGAGGAUGCACACCGUUGUUGAAGAAGCAGAGGGGCGGCGCAUCACAAAUCGAGGGAUGCUCCGGCAGCUGAAGGCGCUCAUCGAGGGUAUGUACCUUGGGUACUACAUGCUGGACAGGCUCAGGGUCCAGUCCCUUGGAGAAGAGAGCGUCGAGGAUGACGAGGUGAGUUAUCGGAGCCAAUCUUUUGCCGUUUCUACUUUUAAUACCGCCAAGCGCCUUCGUUUGGCUGUUGCUGCUUCUAUAACGAAGAACACACCAGUAGCAUUUGGGGCCGGGAGCACAACAAAGUUGAAAAGUGUUCUUGAAAGUUUGGAGGCUCAUACCGCAGAUAUGAGAGAGUUUGUGAUGCUCCUUGGCAGCUGCCCUCGCCUGUCUCGCCAGCCAUACGAUACAUAUCUACACAUGGAUAAGUGCAUGUUUGGUCGCCACAUCGAGAAAGAGCAACUCCUCAACUUCUUACUAUGCAGUGAUGAUAGUCAUGACGGAACAAAUUUCUGCAUCCUUCCGAUCAUCGGCCCGUGCAGAGUCGGAAAGAAAACUCUGGUGCAACAUGCUUGCAGGGAUGAGAGGGUGCGGGGUCGUUUCUCCCACAUGUUUUUCUAUAAAGGCGAUGACCCGCAUAUUGGAGAAUUUGCGGCGAACUGCAAGGCAGGCUCGGGGAAGUACUUAUUUGUUGUUGAUUUCAGCUGGGAUGUGGAUGCGGUGGCAUGGGAGAACUUCCGAUCAUGCCUGCAGAAGAUGCCAGGUGCUUGGAGUAAAAUUGUAGUGAUAGGCACAACAGAUCAAGUUGCUAAAAUGGGAACUGCCCAACCCAUCAGGAUGAAGAGUUUGCCCCAAGAAGAAUACUGGUACUUCUUCAAGGCACUUGCCUUUGGAAGCAUGGAUCCUGAUGAGAACCCAAGACUGGCAUCUCUGGGAAUGCAGUUGGCUACUCACCUAAAUGGAUCUUUUCUUGGUGCAAAUAUAAUUGGUGGGGUAUUAAGAGCUAAUCCUGAUACUAAAUUUUGGUGCAACAUGUUACUGAGGAUAAGAGAACUAGUUCGGACGCACGGCUCCUUCGGCAUACACCCCGAGGACCUUUUCGAGAGAAAUAUCCCUGUCAACUUCACCAAGUCGUCCUAUGUGGGGGCUAAGAUUCAAGGAUGUUGGGCUUACGAUUUGAGGGAGACUGGCCCGGAGCAAAGUGAGCUGCCGAAACUGACAUGGCAACAACUGCUAACCGGUGCUGAAAUUCCUGAUGAUGAAGACAGGUUUGAUGUGUUGGCAUGGAGAUCUCGGAUCCCACCUUACCGCGACUACAUCGUUACUUUUGAGAAACAGAAACCACGUCGUAAGGUCAGCAGGAGGAAUCAUCUGGCGCCAAGAAAAACAUCGGCAUAA
rnacentral:rRNA from 1 species